rnacentral:lncRNA from 1 species
UGGAUGACAAGUGGGCUAGGCUGGGCUGUCGGGGGCAGGACGAAGAUUCUGGCUGAACUUUCCAAGGGACGGGACGCUUGGGAUCCUGGCUGGUACGAGGCCUCCCACACUGUCAAAUGUCAACUCCACCAGCACUGAGACAAUGAGUAGAUGAGAAUGUAGAAAGAGGGAAGGUGGUAGGUAAAGGAGCGGAAGGAAGAGGUGGGGAAAGAGGGAAGGAGAGAAGGGAAGGAGGGAAGAGAAAGAAGGAAGAAAAGGAAAGCAUGGCCCGGCUAGAGACAAAGCCAGAGGUGAUCAGGUCAGCAGCAGGAGAGGCUCAGAAGGGAGCCUCUCGGGAAGUGCAGGCAGCCAUGAGGGCUCGUUUCAGCUGCUCAUAGGUGACGAACAUCACCACGUUCCAGGAACCCAAGCGGAGAAAGGAGGGCAUGAACCCUUUGUAGAAGGCUCGGGGCCCCUCCUUCUGGAGCAUGGUAAGGGCACAGUGGCCAGCGCUACUGUACUGGCCCAGGGCAGAGUUCAUGUAUCUCGUCUUGACCACGUCUACAGGGGAGGCGAUGACAGUGGUGCAGAAGCCUGCCCCAAAGGCAGAAGUGAAGUGGCAAGGGAGGUCAUCUGUCAUGAGGUUGGCUUUCAGGAGGGCAUCCUUGAUGAGGUCAUAGGUCACCAGCUCAGCACAGUUGACAAUGGCAUUACGAGCAACAUUGGGAGAGGUCCCUUUCCAGAGGCCCCGGAACCCUUCCUCUCGGGCAAUGGUCUUGUAGGCAUUGACGGUGCUUUGGUAUCUCCGACCACCUCCAGCCCGGGCCUGAGCUUGGAAUCGGACCUUUACCACAUCCGUGGGCUGGGCCACAGCCACAGCCAGGGCACCUGUGGUGCUGCCUGCUAGGAGGCGGCUCCCAAUGCUGGCAUGCUCAGAGCCCUUGGUGUAGAACUGUUUGACAGAAUCAUACAGGCCGAUGCGGACAGAGGCAAAGCUCAUUUGGCGCUGCAGGCCGGCAACCAGCCCAUUGUAGAGGCUUCGGGGGCCCUCAGUACGCACCAUGGUCAGAAUGGUGCCCAUCACACCGCGGUACUGGGCGCUGGCUGUAGCGCGCAC